rnacentral:sRNA from 1 species
GCCAGGAGGGGUGCUCUUGUGGUCCCAGCUACUCAGGAGGCUGAGGUGGGAGGAUCACCUGGGCCCAUGAGUCCCAGACCAGCCUGGGCAACAGAGUGAGACCCUGUCUUAA